UACGUAGGGUGCGAGCGUUAAUCGGAAUUACUGGGCGUAAAGCGCGCGCAGGCGGUUUUUCAAGUCAGUGGUGAAAGCCCGGAGCUCAACUCCGGAAAUGCCAUUGAAACUGUAGAACUUGAGGACGAGAGAGGUGAGUGGAAUUCCCAGUGUAGAGGUGAAAUUCGUAGAUAUUGGGAAGAACACCGGUGGCGAAGGCGGCUCACUGGCUCGUUUCUGACGCUCAGGCGCGAUAGCGUGGGGAUCAAACAGG
rnacentral:rRNA from 1 species